CAUCAAGUCGCCGUGCCAGUGCGGCGGCGUCGUCAUGCUGUACGAAACGACAGUAUGAGCUUAGUUGCAGCAGCUCCAACAACACUAGUGUUUCAGCCACAAUUCGAUUCUGCUGUCUACAAUUACAAGAAGAAGCCAAUCAUCAACGCUGCCUUCCCAUCAUCAUCCGCUCUUACUCGAACUAAAAGGCUUCACAUUAUUGUUCCCCGCGCUGUAUCCGCUUCUCCUGGCAAGUUCCCGCUAUAAUUGCCCUAGUAGUAUCCCAGUUACUGUAUUACUCUAUUGGCCUCGAAUCCUUUUUUAACAUUUUUCCAGCAAUCAGAGUAAUCAGAAUUUAGAGAUGCGAGCCUUGGAUUUCUUUUUUCCGUUUCAAAAAGGUGUAUGAUUCUAUUCUCUUAUGAUUGCCACAUCAUGUUAAUGGUGAAAUAGGAGCUGAAUCUUCUGAGGUGACGUCCGAAAACUUGUUAGACGGCGUGCAAGUCUUUGACUUGAAUGGAAGUAAGGUUGCCAUUUCUGAGCUGUGGAGAGACAGGAAAGCUGUCGUUGCAUUUGCUCGCCAUUUUGGCUGUGUGCUUUGUCGCAGAAGGGCUGGUUAUCUUGCUUCUCACAAGUGGGAAAACUAACAACCGGAUUGGAAACACAGGAAUCAACUUAAGUAUCUGAUUUGUGGGAUACAACUGUCUUUGUCAAUUACUAUUAAAGAUGCUGACUAACAAGUCAAACUGAAGAAAAAAAUGUUAAUAGUGUGAAGAGCACAGAUCUCCUGAACACAGAAAAGAAUCAGUGAGAAAAUGGAUGCAGCUGGUGUGGCACUGGCUUUAAUUGGACCGGGUAGUGUGGAUCAGGCAAGGGCAUUUGCUGAGCAAACAAAAUUCAGAGGAGGUAAGUUUGAAAGACCUUUCCUUGGAACAAUCAGUGUCACAAAUAUUCAUCGGAAAUCAAAGGCAAUAUUGCACAGAAUUUAAUGCCCUUUUGGAUGUCUGUUUUUGGUCUUUACUAUUUUUCUUCCAUUUUCAAGUGCUAAUACUGCCCGGGAAAAGAAAAUGAUUUCUGUCUUAUUAGACUCAUGAGUCAGGAGAACAUUCUUGAACCAAAUGGACAGAAUUGCUGAAUAAUAUCUAUGUAAUGUUGGUGAUUGAUGAUUUAAAAGAAAUUUCCGCUCAAUUCUUGUACAAAGCACAUGGAUCCCCAACAAACGAAAUGCAUAACAUCUUCCCAAAGUUGAAGGCAUUGGUGAAGGAAUUGAUCAAAUUGUCGUUUAAACGCUUUAAUGGUAUUCUAUUCUACAUUUCAGAAGUAUACGCAGAUCCCAGCCACUCAUCAUACGAGGCACUCAGAUUUGUUUCUGGUGUUUCAACAACAUUUACUCCUGGGGCUGGCCUGAAAAUAAUACAAGCGUACAUGGAAGGUUAUCGACAAGAUUGGGGGCUUUCCUUUGAGAAGGAAACUAGGACAAGAGGUGGCUGGCAGCAAGGUGGGAUCAUAGUUGCAGGUCCUGGUAAACAUAAUAUAUCGUACAUCCACAAGGACAAAGAAGCCGGAGAUGAUCCAGAUAUAGAGGACGUCUUGAGAGCAUGUUGUCCGUAAUUAGCGAAUUGAAGUCUUUCUCCACCCUCCAAAGCAAUAUUAUUUGUUACAUCUCUUAAUCUUCUAAAUUCAGAGAGUUUAGCGAGGGUAAUCUCUUGUUUUAUACGUCAUUAUACCACAUAAUUUUUGGGUUUCAAGGUAUAAAUCCAUAGGUACCGGGCCUUUCAUUUCC